rnacentral:rRNA from 1 species
CUAGAGCUAAUACAUGCUAAAAACCUCGACUUCGGAAGGGGUGUAUUUAUUAGAUAAAAAACCAAUGCCCUUCGGGGCUCCUUGGUGAUUCAUAAUAACUUAACGAAUCGCAUGGCCUUGCGCCGGCGAUGGUUCAUUCAAAUUUCUGCCCUAUCAACUUUCGAUGGUAGGAUAGUGGCCUACCAUGGUGGCAACGGGUAACGGGGAAUUAGGGUUCGAUUCCGGAGAGGGAGCCUGAGAAACGGCUACCACAUCCAAGGAAGGCAGCAGGCGCGCAAAUUACCCAAUCCCGACACGGGGAGGUAGUGACAAUAAAUACUGAUACGGGGCUCUUUUGGGUCUCGUAAUUGGAAUGAGUACAAUCUAAAUCCCUUAACGAGGAACAAUUGGAGGGCAAGUCUGGUGCCAGCAGCCGCGGUAAUUCCAGCUCCAAUAGCGUAUAUUAAAGUUGUUGCAGUUAAAAAGCUCGUAGUUGAACCUUGGGUCUGGCUGGCCGGUCCGCCUCACCGCGAGUACUGGUCCGGCUGGACCUUUCCUUCUGGGGAACCUCAUGGCCUUCACUGGCUGUGGGGGGAACCAGGACUUUUACUGUGAAAAAAUUAGAGUGUUCAAAGCAGGCCUUUGCUCGAAUACAUUAGCAUGGAAUAAUAGAAUAGGACGUGCGGUUCUAUUUUGUUGGUUUCUAGGACCGCCGUAAUGAUUAAUAGGGAUAGUCGGGGGCGUCAGUAUUCAGCUGUCAGAGGUGAAAUUCUUGGAUUUGCUGAAGACUAACUACUGCGAAAGCAUUCGCCAAGGAUGUUUUCAUUAAUC